CUCUGCUUUCUUAUCUCGCCUCCCUCUCCUUCUUUUCAGUCUUAUUUCUUUUCUUUUUUUUUUCUGCUGCUGCGUUAUUACUGCUGCACCUGCUGCCUUACCCCACUGCUGCUGCAACAUAUUUCUGCCGGUACAAAACUGCUCUGCUGCACCUGCUGCCUCUUCCUCACUGCUGCUGCUACGUACUACUGCCAUUACAAUACUGUUGCCGCUGCACACUGCUGCUACUCUCUCUACAAUCGGCUGGAUGUAUCUUCUUCAACUAAAAGUGAACUACAACCUCUUUAUUUUGGAGGACCUUGAUCUCUUCUUCUCUCCUCAGAUCUGAAUAGCAGUAUGGGUUAGGGUGACUUAAAGUGGGGAUACAAGACCAUUGAGGGUGCAUCAAUCCUUGGUAGAAUAGGCUGAGGCAGAAUUUGGGAACGACAUCAAAAUGACGUGAAUGUUGAACCUAUAGUUGAUCAGCAAGAGGACAUUGCUUAUGGAUUUGAAGAAGACAAUGAUUUUUAUUUCUAGAUGAUGUAGACUUUGAGUUAGACUUUGAAGACAUACUUUAGCUCAACUUUACUUUAAGUUUGAAAUUUGGAUUAGAUAUUUGGACCUUGAAUUUUAAUAAUAUAUUAGUUUAGUUAA